rnacentral:rRNA from 1 species
AGAGUUUGAUCCUGGCUCAGAUUGAACGCUGGCGGCGUGCUUAACACAUGCAAGUCGUGCGAGAAAGGGGACUUCGGUCCCUGAGUAGAGCGGCGCACGGGUGAGUAACGCGUGGAUAAUCUACCCAGAUGUUCGGGAUAACGGUGGGAAACUGCCGCUAAUACCGGAUACGAUCCAAUUUCGGUUGGAUGAAAGGCGGCCUCUGCUUGCAAGCUGUCGCAUCUGGAUGAGUCCGCGUCCCAUUAGCUUGUUGGUGGGGUAAUGGCCUACCAAGGCUACGAUGGGUAACUGGUCUGAGAGGAUGAUCAGUCACACUGGAACUGAAACACGGUCCAGACUCCUACGGGAGGCAGCAGUGGGGAAUAUUGCGCAAUGGGGGAAACCCUGACGCAGCGACGCCGUGUGAGGGGAGAAGGCUUUCGGGUCGUAAACCUCUGUCGGGAGGGAAGAACCUUCCAGGCC